GCAUUCCACAGCCCAGGAGUGACCACAGAGAAAGCCUACUCCCGAAUCACUGCCGGGCGAGCUGGCGGCGUACAGAGAUAGACCUCUCUUGAUGACCUUAAUGUGUAGUGAGGACCAUACAGAAGAAGGUGCUCUCCCAGGUAACCUGGUCCCAAAGGUUUUAAAGGUGGAAGCUGUUGGCUGGCGGGAAAGCUGUGCUGAAAGAGAGUGAGGGGAGGAGAAAGCACACGAAACCCUGUAACGGCCAUGGCAGGAGGAAGAGGCCUGCAGCAUUAGGUGUGGGGAGGGCUGCAGAGUCUGAGCCCCCCCCCAAUAUUUGAAAUUGAUGGCCAGCCCUCCCACUUGCAGAGACAGAAGGAAAAACACACAACUGGAACAAGCUUAGCCAACUGCCUAGGGAGGGUGCCAUGCUCUGUGCCUCUCCUUCAGUGCUGGCUCCAUUGCACUCGGCAGAGGCUAGUUCUGAGUUAAUGUGAGAAGGGAGAGACUUUAAAGGAGUAAACCUGCUGCAAAGAGUUUCCUUUUAUUAAAACUGAAUAAAUUAAAUCUGCAUUUAG